GCCUUCGUGAUGUAGUGGUCAGCACGCUGGGCGCGUAUUGCAGAGGUCCGUGGUUCGAGUCCCGGCGAAAGCG
rfam:Stegodyphus mimosarum contig113553, whole genome shotgun sequence.